rnacentral:rRNA from 1 species
GACGAACGCUGGCGGCGUGCUUAACACAUGCAAGUCGAACGGAAAGGCCCUGCUUUUGUGGGGUGCUCGAGUGGCGAACGGGUGAGUAACACGUGAGUAACCUGCCCUUGACUUUGGGAUAACUUCAGGAAACUGGGGCUAAUACCGGAUAGGAGCUCCUGCUGCAUGGUGGGGGUUGGAAAGUUUCGGCGGUUGGGGAUGGACUCGCGGCUUAUCAGCUUGUUGGUGGGGUAGUGGCUUACCAAGGCUUUGACGGGUAGCCGGCCUGAGAGGGUGACCGGCCAAAUUGGGACUGAGAUACGGCCCAGACUCCUACGGGAGGCAGCAGUGGGGAAUAUUGCACAAUGGGCGGAAGACUGAUGCAGCAACGCCGCGUGCGGGAUGACGGCCUUCGGGUUGUAAACCGCUUUCGCCUGUGACGAAGCGUGAGUGACGGUAAUGGGUAAAGAAGCACCGGCUAACUACGUG